UACGGAGGAUGCGAGCGUUAUCCGGACUUAUUGGGUUUAAAGGGUGCGUAGGCGGCCUGCCAAGUCAGCGGUAAAAUUGCGGGGCUCAACCCCGUACAGCCGUUGAAACUGCCGGGCUCGAGUGGGCGAGAAGUAUGCGGAAUGCGUGGUGUAGCGGUGAAAUGCAUAGAUAUCACGCAGAACCCCGAUUGCGAAGGCAGCAUACCGGCGCCCUACUGACGCUGAGGCACGAAAGUGCGGGGAGCAAAUAGG
rnacentral:rRNA from 1 species